rnacentral:misc_RNA from 1 species
UAUUAUUAUUAUUAUUAUUUUUAAAAGUCCAAAUAAAGCUUAAAACCAAACCUACUAAAGAAGCGACUGUUUUUCAUUUGAAAAUGAUUCACAAUAAUAAUUCAGUAAUUAUUAAAGCUAAUCAAAAUCUGAUGAUACUUUUAAUUUAAUACUACUAAACAUUAUCACAGAUAACACUAAAUCGCUCCUCUUCCAACACGACAGUCCCCAAUUUCAAAAUAAGAAAAAUACUAAUAAAAUAAAAAUAAAAAUAAAUAAUAUAAUUAAAAAAAAGAGUUAUUUUUGUCCUUAAGAUUUUGUGGAUCUUGCUUGCUUGUUUGUUUGUUUGUUUUCUUCUUGUUGGUGCUGGUAGUGGUGUGGCUUGAAGUUGUUAGCUACGCGCCAAAGUCAACCAAAAUACGGCGUCGUGUGAAACACUACUUGAAGAUAAUAGACCCUUAUUUUCGUGGACUUUGAAACAGCUGUUUAAUCCUACACGUCACGCUCUCUCUAUCUCUUUCUUCUUCUUACUUGAUGAGGAUUGAAAAAAAAAAAAAAGCCAAAGAGUCAGUCAGUCAGCCAACGUCGUUAUCACGGCUUGGAAACGGA